AAGACUCGCUAACAAUAUCUUAUCAUUCUACGGAGGAAAACAUUGGCGGAGGGUCUGAGAAAACCAAAGACAUACGAGUCUUUUCUACACUCACAUAACAAGCAAGAGAACUAAAGAACCAUGGACAAGCAAGGAAGUCAAAGCUCUGGAGGAAACGCACAGCCCAAAAAUCCGAUGAAUAAAGAAGCGGCAUCAAGGAUUCAGAGUUCAGAAGCAAAACAGCACGGCGGUGGGGUUCCUAAAGGAAGCUUUGCUUCGCGCGCUCAGUCUACUGCAGACAAGCGGGAAAACCAGAACAACUAAACCUGUGGAACUGCUUUUAAACUCAAAGAGAGCAUGAUUUCGUUUAUCAUCAUUUGUGAGAGACAUUUGAUCUUUAUUUUUUGAGGGUUGUUAUUAAACUAUGAUUUGAAUUU